rnacentral:snRNA from 1 species
UAACUGGUUUCUCUUCAGAUCAUAUAAAUCUUUUGCCUUUUACUAAAGAUUUCCAUGGAGAGGAACAAGAAUGAGUGUCAAGGACUUUUUUGAGGGGUUUGGGUUUUUCUU